rfam:Ostreococcus tauri, RCC4221, WGS project CAID01000000 data, contig: 14, chromosome: 14
UCAAGCGUUCAUCGCACCAGUAAAGCACCCGUUCCCAUCAGCACACGGAAGUUAAGCCUGGUUGUGGCUGAUUAGUACUACCGAGGGAACUCGGUGGGAAUCCCGGCUGACGCUUGGU